rnacentral:rRNA from 1 species
GACGAACGCUGGCGGCGUGCUUAACACAUGCCAGUCGAACGGAAUGGCCCUGCUUUUGUGGGGUGCUCGAGUGGCGAACGGGUGAGUAACACGUGAGUAACCUGCCCUUGACUUUGGGAUAACUUCAGGAAACUGGGGCUAAUACCGGAUAGGAGCUCCUGCUGCAUGGUGGGGGUUGGAAAGUUUCGGCGGUUGGGGAUGGACUCGCGGCUUAUCAGCUUGUUGGUGGGGUAGUGGCUUACCAAGGCUUUGACGGGUAGCCGGCCUGAGAGGGUGACCGGCCACAUUGGGACUGAGAUACGGCCCAGGCUCCUACGGGAGGCAGCAGUGGGGAAUAUUGCACAAUGGGCGGAAGCCUGAUGCAGCAACGCCGCGUGCGGGAUGACGGCCUUCGGGUUGUAAACCGCUUUCGCCUGUGACGAAGCGUGAGUGACGGUAAUGGGUAAAGAAGCACCGGCUAACUACGUG